rfam:Oryza barthii chromosome 6, whole genome shotgun sequence.
UUUAAAUACAGUCAUAAGUGUUUAUACUUAAUUUUAAUCGUCCGUCUUAUUUAAAUUUUUUUAUAAUUAGUAUUUUUAUUGUCAUGAUAAAACAUGAAUAUAUUACUUUUAUUCAUGACUUAUUUUUUAAAUUUUUUUUAAAAAAUUUAAAUAAAAUAGACGAUCAAAAUUAAGAGUGAAAAACCAUAACCAUAUUUAAA